rnacentral:rRNA from 1 species
UACGGGGGGGGCAAGCGUUGUUCGGAAUUACUGGGCGUAAAGGGCUCGUAGGUGGCCAACUAAGUCGGACGUGAAAUCCCUCAGCUUAACUGGGGAACUGCGUCUGAUACUGGAUGGCUUGGAUUCGGGAGAGGGAUGCGGAAUUCCAGGUGUAGCGGUGAAAUGCGUAGAUAUCUGGAGGAAUACCGGUGGCGAAGGCGGCAUCCUGGACCGGCAUUGACGCUGAGGAGCGAAAGCCAGGGGAGCAAACGGG